rnacentral:tRNA from 1 species
GUGAGUGUAGCUCAGUUGGUUAGAGCGUCGGAUUGUGGCUCCGAAGGUCGAGAGUUCGAGCCUCUUCACUCACC